UAUUGCAGUUCUGCUCCUUGCUCUUUCUGGCUAAGGUUGAGAGCAGCUUCCUCCAUGUGCUCUCAUUAUGAUAUGCUUUUCUUUUUCUUUGUCACAGGCCCCAAAAUCAAUGGGCUAACUGAUCAUGGAUUGAAACCAGUAAAACUAUGAGCAAAAGUCAACCUGUCCUCUGCACUAAUGGAGCUCAGUCCUUCUUCACAGUGAUGUAAAGAUGACCAACACAAGAGGCUGUUGAAAGAAAGGUUAGACAGCAUGGGUCCUCUCACCCUUCAAAGCAUGACUGAGAAUUAUAGUUUGCUCAGUAACAGACGGCAUCAGGCCAUGGGGAUGAAAGUGUUACAUGAGUUAGUGAUGUUGCUUUUCUAAUGUAGUCCAGCACAUCGCUUAUAUGUUUAUAGUGACGAGGCUGUAAAAAUAUCACUGCAGUCUGGCUGUAUGAAAGGAUAGCACUCACAGCUGUGGACUGUAGACACCUUUCUUUUUUCUUUCCGAGACUCAUGUUGCCCAGGCUGGCCUGAAACUCGCUAUGUGGCUGACAGUGGGUCUUGUGCUUCCACUUCCCUCCCAAGUGCUGGAAAUGGCAAAUACAAGUGUGUGUGUGUGUGUGUGUGUGUGUGUGUGUGUGUGUGUGUGUGUGAAGACCCAAGAAUUAACCUGUAAGCUCCACCUGCCCAAGGACCAUAUAACUUCCCGGCAUGCUGGGAGUUAUAGGACUUGGAAGAUAACAAAGCCACGUGGAAAAAGACAGUGGCUGUGUGGUUUGGCCUGCACAACAUGUGUCUCCUCACCCCUUAGUUGGGAAUUCCAGGGAGUGGUCCUGACCAAAGCAAUUAAAGCUUGCUUUAGAUUUGGCUCAAAAUUGUGGGGCUGGUUUCUCUGCAGGUGAACAGUGCGCAUGCGUUUAGAAGUCAAUGUCAGCUUUCUUCUUCAAUCAUUUCUCCACCUUAUUUGAAGACAGGCUCUCUGUUGGUUUUGUCUAGGCUCCGCCCCACAGUUACUUGGCAACAGCCAGGUAUGUCUGACUCACUAUAAAAGGGGCUGCUUGCCCCCUCCUCUCUCUCUUGCUCUUGCUCAUUUCUCUUUCUCUUUACCCUCCCUCUCCCCAUUCCUCUCCCCCCUCUCUAUGUGCUCAUGGCCCACCUCUACUCCUCUACGCUCUCUCUCCCUCUUUCUCACUCUCUGCCUUUCUCUCAACUCCCCUUGCCAUGCCCUGAAUAAACUCUAUUCUAUACUGUACUGUCAUGUGGCUGGUACCUCAGGGGGAAGGGAUGCCUCAGCAUGGACUGGCAGAGGCACCCCCUUUCCCCCACCAUUCCGGUCCUCCACCAAACAUAUCCCUGGCUUCUCUCUUCUCUCUUUCUUUUUAUAAAACACCACAGUCUCUAGACUGGUGAUGGAACAAUAAGCCCAGAGAGCCUUCCAUCUCUGCCUCUUCAGAACCUGGAUUUGGGUGCGUCCCAUCACAUCUCGACUCAGGCUUUUGCAUCAUUUGCCGACUGAGCCUUCUCCUUAGUCCA
rnacentral:lncRNA from 1 species